rnacentral:lncRNA from 1 species
AUGAACUUGGGGAAAAUAAUUAAAAAAAAUAUAUUAAAAAAGGAAAAAAGAAAAAGCGGGAGACGCGACACGCGUGGUCGGGUCCAUUCCGAGCGCAGAGAGAAAGGCUGUGAGGGGCGGGGGCUCCGGGCAGGUACCGAGGCGGGGCGCUGGGGGGCCGCCCCAGCCCGCUCCAGUGGCCGAGCACCGCGGGGAGGCGGCGGCGAGCGGCAGCCGGGAGAGAGGGCACGGAGAGGCACGGGAGCGACCGGGCGCACCGUACCGCAAAGAAAGACCCGGAGGGAAAGUGGAAGUGCUACUGGAGGAGAGGCGGCUGUGCCUCGACUGCGUUUAUUCGAGGCAGUAUUUAUCUAAUGGUAUGGAGGCUGUGAACUUCAAAUGCCCAAAUCCAAGACCAGAAGCUCAGUGAAGCAAACUCCAAAUAUGGUUAGAAGCGAUUGCAUGUGCUGCUUUGGAAAAAUGGAUCAAGGGAAACCAGUAUAGCUACCGUGAGAUCCCCAAGAUAAGCUGGGACCUGAACUUAUAUCCUUGCCUUGCUCUUUGUCAGUGCAGACUGGGACUACCUGAGAUGCAGAUCCAGCUGAAUGGAUUUCUGCUGGUUGAAGAUUUAACUAGACAUUAAUGUGAUUAUAAAGUCUAUUUGUGAUAUAAAGCUUCACCUACUCAUAUUCAUGAUCUUCUGACAGCUAACAUGAACAUUUUCAAUUGUAGUUUAAUGAAGAAAACCCCUAACCACAGUAUACUUACUUAGUUGUCCUGCUGGGUAACAGAGUGUCAACAAGCUGGUGUGAAAAGGCUACAAAGGACUUAAGUCUGAAGCUGUUAAAUUCUUGUUAGUGCUUGCAACUGAACAGCAGCAAGAAAGAUACAAGGACAGCACGGGGGAUAGUGCAGAAAUAUGAGAGAUUAUGCUAUGGAACAGUUUUCCAACUUGUGCUGCCUCAGUGUUAGCAUUUGUGUAAAGGAGGCUCUAUGUCAGGUCAGGUUGUUUAGGUGUCACCAGCAAUGUGCCAGAGUUAGCAUCAGUAGCAGUUGCCAUCAGCUCCGUGUCAGAUCACGUGUGCAUUUCUGACUGCUUCCACCUCUACUGAAAGCCCUCCCACAGGAUUUGCAGGGCCAGAAAUAUGCAUUCUCAUGGGUACUCAGGGACAGUGAAUGGAAUAAACAUAGAAAACCUGAACCUGUAAGUUUGGCA